rnacentral:rRNA from 1 species
UGGCGGCGUGCUUAACACAUGCAAGUCGAACGAGGAUAGUAGGAGCUUGCUUUGACUAUUCGAGUGGCGGACGGGUGAGUAACGCGUGAACAAUCUGUCUCACACAGGGGAAUAACGCAUCGAAAGAUGUGCUAAUACCGCAUAGGACCACGAGGUCGCAUGGCUUUGAGGUGAAAGGAGAAAUCCGGUGUGAGGUGAGUUCGCGUCUGGAUUAGAUAGUUGGUGAGGUAACGGCCCACCAAGUCAACGAUCAGUAGCCGACCUGAGAGGGUGAUCGGCCACAUUGGGACUGAGACACGGCCCAGACUCCUACGGGAGGCAGCAGUGGGGAAUAUUGGGCAAUGGGCGCAAGCCUGACCCAGCAACGCCGCGUGAAGGAAGAAGGUUUUCGGAUCGUAAACUUCUGUCCUAUGAGAAGAUAAUGACGGUAUCAUAGGAGGAAGCCCCGGCUAACUACGUGCCAGCCGCAGC